rnacentral:lncRNA from 1 species
UGUGAUUAGAAAAAAAAUUGAAUUUGUAAGUUUAAUAUUACAAAUUAAAUCAAGCAUUAAACAAGUGACAUUUUAUUUAUUCAAAUAACCGGGUUACAGACUACCACUGGCAUAGGAAAAUGAAGACAUAAAAACAAUGAAUACAAAAGAUUAAUUACAUGAAAGAGAGCAAUAAAUUUAUCCGAGUCUUUUAGCAACAUCAACAAUUGUUGGCCUGGAAUAGACUCGGAUUGCAAAAGAUCAAACAAUUAGGCAACAAAUUGUUCGUGAACUACGAUAUAUCAUGAUGUGAUAUUUGUAAUAACGGUAGGUCUAGCAAACCAACGUGAAUGCAUGAAAUUACAAUAGCUAUCUCAAAAGUCAAACUGAUCUGGUCGAGGGCCAUGAAUACGAUCAGCAAGAGUUCCACUUGCUAAAAAUCAAAAAAAGGAAUGUGAAUUUCAGUCCCUAAGCAAUAUCCGAUCAACUUCAAAAUAUUUUUAUGACUAAUUUGUGAUCCAAACACAACGCAGUUAAUACAAUUAGCUUUAAAAUAUGAUUGUAACACAUUUGUGCUGCAUAUGUGAUGUUGUUAAUACAAAUUUUGUAUGCACGAGGACGAUAUUCAUGACCAUGAAACUGCAUAAAAGACAUCAGGCACUCCUUGUACAUUGUAUACAGUUUAUAGCUAGUGUCUUCUGCUAAAACAUUUUUCUGGUCACUCUUCUAGUACACUCGCGCCAUUCCCGCUCAUCAAAGUUCUUUUACCUUUCGACCAAAGCUUGAAUUUUCUUAAAAUCCAACUCAUAUCUAGAAACCAACCAAAAUACCAUCAGUAGAUUGUAUGAAUAUAUAAAGCAAGAGGGAGUUCAUUCAUAUACAUGAUAGAUAUGUCUCAUUGAAUAAAUAAAUAAAUAAAUAAAACUCUUAAUCAUCCACAGGGGUGCACAGUAUCAGCACAUAUGAUGGCUCCUACGUAAAUGCAACAAUCUACAGAAUUAAAGUCACGGGGAAAAGCAGAAGCAAGCAAAUAAAAUCUAACACAAUAUACACACUGAUCCUUUGACCUUUGUAAUGUCACAGUCACAUGGUUAUGUUUUGUCUUGCAAUAAAUUCAAACUUGAGCAGCAAGCUAGAGUGAAUGCAAACCAGCAUAAAGAAUACAAUGGCAAAUGAAGAUGUCUCUAAAUAACAGCAAGAUACAUGGCGUAAAGAUUCACAAUUUAGAAUGUCACUUGCCAACAUACAUAUAUUUGAAGAUUAAACAAACAGAUAGGUAUAUUUAACUGAGUUGCUUUGCCGUGUGACAACAACGAUUGUUGGCCUAUCUUCUUGUGAUUCAUUAAUGCACUUGAAGGUAAGUUAUUUUCAAUAACAAAAGGAUCUAGAAAAUCACUGAAUCUGUUUCUUUUCAACAAGUCUCUUUUCAUAUUUUGUCCAAAACUAAUCUUUCAUGUGAGUUAACUCUAUUCUCUGUCCAGUCAGAAACUCACAUAGAACCACACCAAAAAUUAAAUAUCAUACUUCUCAUUUUUGUUUUUUGUUUUUUGGAAAGACAUACUUCUCAUUUAGAGAGCCUGCUCUAGCACACUCAACGAGGGUGUACAUGUACCUGUUGAAGGAAAUUUCAGCCAUCUAUGAAGAUAGAGAACAGAGGAGCUUUGCAGUUGGUGCCUUCAGUAUUCAUGUGAUUCCCUACAUCCAUGAAUUGUUUAGUUUAGUGCACAGUUCUCUAAGACUGGGAAAUUUCAAAUCAAUGAAAAAUCAUCUAAUGGAAGUUCUAGAAUAGAAUAUAUUAAGUUUGUUCAACACACUCCUCUGCUUCCACAAGGACUAAUCAACGAAAGCAUGAAAGCCAAACAAAAAAACAACUAACCUUUUGUUUAUAUAACAGGAUAUAUAACAGGUUACAAGUAAUGAAAUGGAAACUGAAAACACGAAAACAAGAAAUAUGAAAAAGUUGUUUACAUGAAAGAGCAAUAAAUUUGUCUGAGUUUUUUUGCAACAUCAACCAUUGUUGGCCGAUCUACCGGUGAUUCUUUGAGACAUUCAGACAUAAGUUGUGCAUAAGCAUGCAAUUGCUGCUCUUUCCGAAGACAUAAUAUGUCUUGAAUAAUAAGACGAUCUACUAUCUCGGUAAAACUAUUGUCUUCAAUAAAUUUCUUAAAAUAUUCCUCCAAAGGACAGCCGAGAUUGUCUGCAGCCUUCAUAAGGUCAGAGAUAAUCUGUCCCGUCAAAAGCUCAAAUAGAAAUGCACCAAAACCAUAAACAUCGGACUUUUCAUUGAAAACACCUGUGCUUUGGUACUCAGGUGCACAAUAUCCCCACGUUCCCAUCACUGUAUCAGUAAUGUGGGUUUCACCUUCAGGAAUGGAUAUGGAUAGUGAAAAAUCAAAUAAUUUUGCAACAUUUUCUUCAUUCAACAAGAUAUGUGCUGUCUUGAAAUCUCUAUAAACGAUUGGCCUGGGAAAUCCAAAGUGAAGAUAAGCAAGUGCAUGUGCAAUAUCCAUUGCAAUCUUUAACCUAUGUUUCAUUAGUAAUGGUUCAAUCUGAGGUUGAGAAGCACUUAAAAUACGAUCACGAAGAUUCCCAUACUCCACAGAUUCAAAAGCUAGAAUGGGAAUUUGAGUCUCUAAGCAGCAUCCAAUUAGCUUUAAAAUAUGAUUGUGGCUCAUUUGUGCUGCAUAGACAAUGUUGUUAAUACAACUUCCGUGUUCAUCACGAUUAGAUUCUCGAAACCUCAUAACAGAAAUUAGGCGCUCCUGCCAAAAUCCCUUGUACAAUAUACACCCCCAGUCUUCAGUUAUAACGUUUUUCUGGUCAUAGUUGUUAGUUGCUAGCUUGAGUUCUUGAGCAGAGAAGAUACGAUAAGGAUUAUAGUUACCAUUAGAAGACGCUAUCAACUCUUUUAGCACACUCGCGCCAUUUCUCAACAUAUUUUCUGUUUUACUAUUAUUGGUAGUCUCUCUGUCCUCCCUAUUCUUGGAUUUUCUCAAAAUGGACCUCAUAUCUAAAAAGUAGAAAUCAAUUAAAAUAUAAUUAGUUUAUAUACUUGAACACAGCAAAUGAAUCAUAUUUGUGUGUGUACAAAACUAAAAAUUGUUGCUGUAUGCUUCAAAACACAUAUGUGCAUAGAAGUGAACUUAAUUUGCAGGAAGAAAUCGUAUAUACUGCAAACAAAAGGAAAAAGAAAGCAAGCUGCUGGCUGCAAUGAGGAUGUACCUGUGGACGGCAAAUUGAUAAAUCUGAUAUCGAGAUAACGCGCGGCUUGAUCUCUGUGAACGUGGUGUGCACUCGCAUAUCAUUCAAGUCAAAGGCAGAAGAAAUCGGCCACCACGAAAUUUCUGAGGAAGUCCUGCUUCUAGGGGUGAUGUGUUGAAAAGUCAGCAGCAGCCAGCCAAAUCCAAUUUUGCAACAGCUAGCUUGCAAGCUCUGGAGAAGCAAAAUCAAAUUGGAAUUUGCUUAAGCCGAAAAGAAAGAAUGAAAAAGGGGAUGGAUUGAAAAUAAUAAUAAUUAUUUAUUAUAUUUUCAAUUAUUUUAUUCUUUGUAUAGUGCCAACAUUUUUCCUAUAAAUAGCUUAGGAUUUCAUUCAUUUGAAAUCAUCCCAAAAUUGUUAAGCUUAUAAGUUUCUAAGCUUUUGAGAGAAGUGAGAGAAGUGUGUCUGGGGAAUUUAUCUUUCCUGCAGAGUGUGAGAGUACUGGGUAUAUUUGGGUUUCUGGGAAGUGAGAUUCGUUACUCAAAUAUUGUAUUCUAUUAAUUGUUAAAUAAACAAUUAUUCUUUCUUGCCUCCGUGGAUGUAGGUUUAAUUACCGAACCACGUAAAUUCUUGUGUCCUUUAUUUUUCAGUAAUUUUUGGUGCGCUUGAUUCCGCAUUCCGCGCACAACAUGAUGACAGACAACCCCUCUUCACCAGCUGAUGAGAUUGCCCCCCAAUUAUUUUGCGACACGUGUUCCCACGUGGCAUCCACAUUUGAUCUCUAAAAUUAAACAUUUUUAAUCUAAAUGAUUCUUAUUGAAUCAAAAUAACUAUCGCUUUCAUUUGUCAGGUCAGUCACACCAAUCCACUGUCGAUUGUCGAAUGCUGCUUGGUCGAAUAACGGCCACAUAUCUUCACCUCAUUUUUAGGCCAAUGUUUCGAGUUUUUCUGUUUGUUUUGUGUGGGUUUGUCUAUCUCCGGCUGAUGAGGCAACUUUAAGAGCAAGUUCUGUAAAAGGUUGCAUCAAUCGCUGGUCUUCCAAUUCCAGAUGGACCAGAUCUAUUAUCUCAUUAAAGAUAUUACAUUCAAUAUAUUUCUUCACACAAUGAAAUAACUAAUGACGAUCUCCGGCUUCAUCAAAAUAUUUCUUUUGAAAUAUCGACUAAUUUUAGAUUGUUUCCUCAUCUUUACAGUAGUGCGAUCGUUUGGGAAUUGAAUUUGGAUCCUCUGCUAGGUAGUUUCUCUUCUAGUCCUCUUAGGCUUUCAAAGAUCCAUUGACAAGUGUAAUUAAUAACAUUAAAUUAUUGAGAUUAAAUCUUACAUUAUAAUCUUCUUUUUUAAAAAAAAAAAAUUAAAGUUGAUUAGUGUGAGUGGUUCGACACUCUCACUCCUUAAAAGAGGUCAGGGAUUUAAGCCUCGCUCUCGUAUGGAGUCACCACUUUGGCCAGCACUUUACCCCUUACGGGCCGACCCGGUGCCAGCAGAGAUUAGUCUAGAUUGUGGUAUUAGUCUGGAUUAUGGUACGGACUUAAACGUGCCUCCUACAGUUGAGGUCCACUUAAAACCAUCUCGUGGUUCAGACAAAUAAAAAAAAAAUCUUAUUUUUUAACUCAUGAUCACUCAAAAUUUUUUUUUUCAAUUAUUUCCAUUCUCUCCCUUCACAAUAUUGGAAUUUUAAUUGUUAGAUUAUGACUAAAGCAAGCUUGAGCGGCACACUUGCAAUCCUUUGCUGCAGACUCGGAACAAAAAAGAUGAGCUGCAACUCCAUAAACAGUGCAGCGGUGAAUAGGAAAAUGAGCUCCUACACUACGAGGGAAAACCAAAGAAGUCAAGCAAACACAACAUGUGGACGGUUGUUCACCAUAAGAAAUAUCUUCCAUCCUUGUAUGAUGAGAAAUAGGGAAAUUAAUUUUUUUUUUUUCAGAAUUUCUUCUUUGCUCUGGCAACAGCUUUAAUCCAAUUUAGAGAUGUCCUUCUUUGUCACUGAAAAGAUGCACACAAGAACAAGAUAGCCAGAAGCCCCAGUGCCCAGUAAUCCAAAAAAGAAAGGACGAUAGCCCUAUGCAAGUUUGCUGUUUUGUUGUUUCUUUAAUUUUACAGCUGCUGUUUUGGAUCAUUUAAAAUCGCUAUAACUAAAAUUUUAAUUUCGUGAAGGGAGAGAAAUUUGCAAUAAGUAGAGGAAAAACUUUUUGAGUUAUCAUGAGCUUUAAAAUAAGAUUGCAAUGUAAGAUUUAAUGUCAGCUAUUUAAUUUCACUAAUUAUACAUGUGGGUUCACCUCUGUUGAAACGGAUGUAAGUUACCCCAGUUUUUGUCUUAUAUGAUUUAACUAAUGUUAAAUGUCACUGAGCUCCUUAUACUUCUUUUUAUUUAUAACAUACUAAGAAUUAAUAUGAUACUUUUUACUUACAUACACUAUAAAAUUUUAUUUAGCACCUUAUACUUUUUUAUUUAUUAUUUUUAUAAGUAUUGAAGUACUUAUUUGGAUUACAUCCAAGACAUAUUAAUCCACGUAAAGCACUAAUAUCAACAAAAAGAUAAUAAUACCCUUAAAUUUAUAAAUUAAAAAUAAAAUUUAAGAUCUUUUUCCUCGUUCCUCUUGCCUUCAGCUCCAUCAUCAUCACUCCUCACAUUCAUCUUCAGCUCCAUCAUCAUGAUCUUCACCUUCAUCUUCACAUAUUUUACACAUAUGGAAUGUUGAUGAAAUGAUAUUUUUUUCCCUAAAUGUCCUAAAAAUUUCAUGGCAAUCACUUCAAUUCUAAACUCAAAUCGGCCGCCCCUAGCAAAUUGUAAUUUGCUUCGAUACCAUCUUGUCCAUUACAAUGUCAUCAAAUCCCUUAGUUUCAGACCCAUUAUUCCAAAUCUUGAUCCUAAACUCAAUAGCCUUCAGCUAAAACAUUUAUUAUGAACUCAACGACUCUAAUUUUAACUAGCAGUAGCAAGGAUAAUUCAAGACUCCCUUCCAAUCUCAAUCUCAAAGUCCAACAAUCUAUAGGAGUGAUGAUGGUAGCUGUUCGUUUCCAUUAGCAUUGACAAAUCCAAAUCAUUUGCAAGUUGCGGUUGCUGCUGCUCUUUUUCAUUUUGGCGGGGCUAUUCUUGUUCUUGUUUUUCAGUGGACAAAUAAUUGGUCUUAGCAAGAGGUUUUAGAUCUUAAUCAUUUACUCAUGAAGACAACAAAAUCAUUAUUCGUUAGACAUGACACUCAACAAUGGAACUCUGAUUAUCCACCUAUAACAAUAAUGGCGUCGGAGGUGGUGGCUUGGCGUGGGUACGAUGGAGCCGUAGCCGAUGCGUGGUCUUGUCAAGAGAUAUUGUUUGUGUUGCUUGUGGGUUUUUAAGCGACUUUAAGCAUGGUUGUGGGUCACUAAGGUUGAUGAAGAUGAGACUUAACAAUGGUGUGCUUUUAUUGCUGGUUGUAUUGGUUAACUCCAUUUUCUUCAUUUUCUUCCACCUUUGUCGAGAAGGAUAAUUUUGUCUUUUUAAGACUCAUAAGCAAAUUAUAAAAUGAAAAGAGUGUAAGGUGCUCAAGUAAAUUUGACAGUUGUUAAAACAUAAAAGACAAAAAUUGGGGUAUCAUACAACUGUUGCAACUUGCAACAUAGGUGAAUCCUAUACAUGUUGAUGGAUCUUUAAAAAUUAAGAGAAAAUACGAGGGAUCCGAAUCCAAAAGUAAAACAAGUACUCUCCGGUCAACCAAUUGUUUGUGAACGUUUCAUUGCAGCUAAGCGGGACAUUGGCCACACCGAAAUCUCUGUACGGAUGAAGUUUUGGACGGGGCCUUUGCAUCUUAAUAAGAGUACGUGUAAAAAAAAAAGUACCCUUUUUUCGACACCCUUAGAAACUCCUUAUGACACCCCGUUCCUAAAGAUACUCAUUUUAAUAAUUUAAAAGUCAUUUAAAUCUAAUAACAGAACAAUUAUUUUAAAACCGUCCAUAUAUUUUAAAUUUUUCUUGAUUAACUCCGUGCGUUGUUCCACAUCGGGUUUGACUCAGUUUGCCUCAUUAGCCCCUUUUUUUCUAGGUUGGAAGUACCAGAAACAAAAGAAAUCUGUACUCAAGUGUACCUCUUUCAUAAUUGAUGAAAAAAUUAGAUUUAGGUUCUGUACCAUAUCAAUCCGCUUCCGACAGCGCUGAUGAAAGCAUGAUAUACACAAGUAACUUUUCGUCUAUUUGUGGAACUGGCCACAACUAACAGCAUGGAAAAAUGGAAACCUAAAAUCAAGGAGUAUAAUUUAAAAAAUUAACGCAAGGGCGAUAAAUUUGUCUGAGGUUUUUUUUUUUUUUGCAACAUCAACCAUUGUUGGCCUAUCUUCCGGUGAGUUGUUGACACAUUCUAAGGUAAGUUGUGCAGAGGCAUGCAAUUGCUGCUCUUUCUCAAUGCAUGGUAUGUCUUGAACAAUUAUAGGAGCUGGUAUCCCAGUAAAUCUUUUAUCUUCAAGAUAGUUCUUCAAAUAUUCAUUGAAAAAACAGCCAUGAUCGUGUGUAUCCUUAAGAAGAUCCCAGAUGUGUAUCCGUCCAGCUAAAAGCUCAAAUAGAAAUGCACCAAAACUAAAAACAUUGGACUUUUCGUUUAAAACACAUAUGCUUAUGUACUCAGGUGCAGAAUAUCCCCGUGUUCCAAUCACUCUGUCAGUAGUAAUGUGGGUUUCACCUUCAGGAAUGGAUAUGGAUAGUAAAAAGUCAAACCAUUUUGCAACAUUUUCUUCAUUGAACAAGAUAUUUUGUGUCUUGAAAUUUCUUAAAACAAUUGGCCUGGGGAAUCCAAAGUGAAGGUAAGCAAGUGAAUUAACAAUAUCGCUUGCAAUCUUUAACCUGGAUGGCUGGAUUUCUAUAGUAAUGGUUCAAACCGAGGUAGAGGAGCGCCGAAAAUACAAUCACGAAGAGUCCCAUACUCUACAGAUUGAAAAACUAGAAUGGGAAUUGGAGUCUGUAAGCAGCAUCCAAUUCGCUUUAAAAUAUGAUUGUGGCUCAUUUGUGCUGCAUAUGUGAUGUUGUUAAUACAACUUCCGUAUGUAUGACGAUGGUAUUCAUGACCAUAAAACUUCAUAACUGAAAUUAAGGACUCCUGCCAAAAACCCUCGUACAAUUUAUAUAUGCUGUCUGUCUUAUAACUUUUCUCUUGUCAUAGUUGUUAUUUGCAAUCUCGAGUUCUUUAGCAGAAAAGAUACGACAAGGAUUAUAUUACCAUUAGAAGACGCUAUUAACUCUUUUAGUACACUCGUGCCAUUCCUCAUCAUCAAUGUUCUUUUAUCAUUCCUGUCCCUGAAUUUUCUUAUAAUUGCACCCAUCUAGAAGUAGAAACCAAUUCAAAUAUUGCAGUCAGUUCCUUUUAUUUAUAUACUACUAUUUCAUUUUAAAAAAAAGAAAAAAAGAAAAGAAAGAAAAGAGAGCAAAGCUGCGGAAUACUAAUAACAAGAAGAGGAGUAUCUGUGACUGUGGACUUUCGGCAAAUUGAUUAAUUAAGAAAAAGCUAUGCUUGAUCUUGAUCUAUACUACUGCAAGAGUCAGUUCAGAUUCUUAUGUUGAUUAAAUUGAGUCAUAUAUAGUUUUUUUUUUUCUUUUAAUCAUGAAUAAGUAUAAAAUUUGUUUGUCUAAUUAAUGCUUAAUUUUAUUUGAAAUACAAUGUGAAAAUACAAGAAGUCUUCCUCGAUUAAACCAAGGAUAUCCUAUGCAAGAGGGAAAGAUAUUCCAUGUGGCUAAGCGUGGAAUUAAUUCUUUUAUAAUUAUUUCUAUUUUUUGAGAAAUAUGUUAAGAAAUAAGAACAUAGAAGAUAAGUGAUGUAAAUGAAACAUAGAAUAAAAGUGACGUGAAUAAAAGGUAAAACAAAUAAAACAUGUACAUAUCUUAAGAAAUAAGAACAUAAAACGUAAGUGAUGUAAAUGGAACAUAAAACAUAAGUGGGUUAAAUAAAAAGUAAAACAAAUAAAACAUGUAAGUAUCUUAAGAAAUAAGAACAUAAAACUAAUAUUAAUAUAUGUAGCAACAGUUCAUUCAUAUAUAAUGAUAAAAGUAAACUUAAUUUACAUAAAGAGAAUGUAUUUAAUAUAUGUAGCUACAGUUCAUUCAUAUAUAAUGAUAAAAGUCAACUUAAUUAUAACAAAAUACCUAUAAUUUAGUGGUAAGAGUGCUAUUUAGUGGUUUUGAUAGAUUUGGUUCAAAUUACAAUAGCCAAUAUUUAUUUUGUGGAGAUUACUUAUAUAAAGGAACUUUUAUAAAUGUGGCUGGCCACAAUGAGCUUCAACAUUGAAAAUAAAUAAUUUACUAUUAUUAUUAUUUAAAUAAAAAAUAUAAUAGAAUUUGAGUUUUGAGACUUUAAAAAACUAGUACCCCAAAUUAAAUUAAAAUUUUGAACUAACCCUCCUAAUUUAAGUUUCUGGGUUCGCCUCACCUAGAUUGAAACUUAAAUAUUAAAAGAAAUACUAUUGGAUUGAGCGAGGUUGACAAUAAAAUCCAAAUUUAAUAGCUUUAUACACAUUACACAACUUCAACCAAUAGCUCAGUCGGCGAUCGAAACUUCAUAGUAGCUGACUUCUCUAUUAGCUUAUUUUAAUUUCAGAAUGCAGAUAAACAAAACAGAGGAUCUCUCUACUCUCUGCCCCAGCAGCAACAUGAACAAAGUGAUUUUGUGAUUAGAAAAAUAUUCAAUUUGCAAGUAAGUUUAAUAUUACAAAUUAAAUAAAGCAUUAAACUAGUAACAUUUUGUUUACCCAAAUAACCAGGUUACAGUACUACUACUGGCAGGGGAAAAUGAAAACAUAAAAACAAGGAAUACAAAAGAUUAAUUACAUGAAAGAGAGUAAUAAAUUUGUCCGAGUCUUUUUGCAACAUCAACCAUUGUUGGCCUAUCUACUGCUGAUUCGUUGAGACAUUCAAGAGUGAGUCGUGCACAAGCUUGCAAUUGGUUUUCUUUCUCAGUGCAUGAUAGGUCUUGAACAAUUAUGAUAUGGUCCCAAUCAGAUGCUUGCUAACAAUUGCAAGCAAUAUAGUUGUUCUGCUUUUGGUGAGAACGACCACAAACAAAUAUUUAAGAUAAUUUCUCCAUGACUUUUAUUUCAGUACUAGAGCUUAUUUAUAACAGCAAGCGUAACAAUACUUUGCUUUGUAAUCGAGAUUAUUGACUCAAAUCUAGUAAAUAAAAUUAAGGAUAAUAUCGCCUAGCUAUAAACUCGUAGCAGAAUUCAAAUCAAAUGUAACAACCAAGAUUUGAUUCCCUGCUAAAUUUGCAAUGAUCACUUGACGUGGUAAUCCAACCGUUAUUGCUCCGGUAAGCAUCCACACACAAACUUCACGUGAUACAUGUCUUGAAUGUGCCAUGCAAGGCUUGCAUGGGUUACGUAGCUCAAGCAUAACCCUCAAACUUGUAGAUAGGCUUGGGAACUCUCAUUGAUCUUUUUGGUUCUUUAUCAAUACCCCCUCCUUGAAGUGGACCCUUGUCCUCAAGGGUCAUGUGUGGAAAUUGUUGUUGUAGCAAUGCCGUGUCUUCCCAGGUUGUUCUCAUUUAUUGUCUUCUCCAUGUAGUUCCUCUGCAACUUCUUCACAAGUGAUCUCGUUGGUGUCGUUGUAGCUCUCGAGAAGUAGAAGUUGAGGCCCUUGACAUUUAUAACCCGCAGUGAACUGUUCGUUGCAAGUGAAACAUAGUCCAUGAGCUCGUCGUCGUUGCAUUUCAUCCCACGGUAAUCUUUUGACAGGCACGGUUGGUGAUGCUUGAGUAGGUGGCAAUGUUGGCGGUGCACAGUUGGAGGGUGGCUGGAAUAAUCUCCGUUGGCGUGUUAUCUGGCCAUCUUUCAUAUGAGCAAGGCUGAUGGCUUCCUUUAACGUACGUGGCCUGAACAUCCGUAUAUCCUCCGCAAUCUCAGGUUUCAAUCCUCCCAUGAAAGUGCCUACCAACGCUUUCUGUGACCACCCAUGAACUCGGUUUCCCAACCUCUCAAAUUCCUUAUGGCAUUCUCGCAGAGAACUUGUUUGUUCGACCUAAGACACUGCUUCAUCAAAGUCUUCACAAUCCGUUGGUCCGAAGCGUGCCCACAGCUCGUCAACAAAUGUUUCCCACGUAACCGGUCGGCUUCCUUCUUAGUAAGCCUUGCGCAUCCACUGCCACCAUUGAUUUGCUUCGCCCUCCAAGUGAUAUGAUGCUAAGACUACUUUCUGCUCAUCCGUGGUUUCUUGGUACUUAAAAUACUGCGUUACCCGAUUGAACUACUCCAUUGGGUCGUCGCCGGCAUAGCGGGGAAACUCCAACUUGGCACUUCUUGUUGGUAGCAUUGGUCGACCUCCUUCACUUUCCUCGUGGAAUGGUCGUGAAGAUCCAAUGUGCUCGUUAGUGCCGCAAUUGACAGUGCCUCUGGUUGCACUAAAAGAUUCCGCCAAUUUGCUCAAGGUAUCCUCCAGAUGCUGCAGUUUGUCAUUGAUCCCAAUUUCUAUUUGUUCCAUCUUGUUCUGUAAGUUCCUGAUAUCAGCUUCAAUUCGUUUGAUACGCUCCUUGUUGGUUUCCAUUAAUAGCUAGCUCUAAUACCAAUUGAUAUGGUCUCAAUUAGAUGCUUGCUAACAAUUGCAAGUAAUAUAGUUGUUCUGCUUUUGGUGAGAACGACCACAAACAAAUAUUUAAGAUAAUUUCUCCAUGACUUUUAUUUCAGUACUAGAGCUUAUUUAUAACAACAAGCGUAACAAUACUUUGCUUUGUAACCGAGAUUAUUGGCUCAAAUCUAGUAAAUAAAAUUAAGGAUAAUAGCGCCUAGCUAUAAACUCGCAGCAGAAUUCAAAUCAAAUGUAACAACCAAGAUUUGAUUCCCUGCUAAAUCUGCAAUGAUCAUUUGACGUGGUAAUCCAACCGUUAUUGCUCCAGUAAGCAUCCACACACAAACUUUACGUGAUACAUGUCUUGAAUGUGCCAUGCAAGGCUUGCAUGGGUUACGUAGCUCAAGCAUAACCCUCAUACUUGUAGUUAGGCUUGGGUACUCUCAUUGAUCUUUUUGGUUCUUUAUCAAAUUAUAGGAUCUGCUAUCUCAGUAAAUCUAUUAUUUUGAAGAUAGUUGUUCAAAUAUUCAAUGAGAUGACGGACCAAACCAUGUGUACGAAGUAAAUCCUUGGUGCCAUGUCCAGUCAAUAGCUCCAACAGAACUGUACUGAAAGUAUCAACAUCAUACUUUUCAUUGAAAACACCUGUCCUCAUGUACUCAGGAUCACGAAAACGAUAUGUUCCCGUAAGAGGAUGAGUAAUGUGGGUUUCACCUUCGGGAAUGGAUAUGGCGAAUGAAAAAUCAAACAAUUUGCAACAUUUUCUUCGUUGAACAAGAUGCGUGAUGGGGUGAAAAGUCUAAAAACGAUGGGUCUGGGGAAUCCAACAUGAACAUAAGCAAGUGCAUUAGAAAUAUCAAUCGCAAUCUUUAACCUAUGUUUCAAUAGCAAUGGUUCAAACUGUUGGGGAAAAAUCAGGUUUUUUAAAUUUUUAUAAAACCUUUUCUUAAGAUCACUCUCAUAUAAUAUAUAAGAAUUUGUAAUCUAAAAAUCGUACCUUGAAAAUCCGAUUUAGAUUUUUCCUUUGAAGUGAUUUAGGCUCUCAGAUCACGAUCCGUCACUACCACGUCUGUUAGAUCACGAUCCGUCACCACCACGCUUGUUAGAACACGAACUGGCACCAAUGAUCUUCUAGGUUAUGACUCAGGUUUGAUCUGCACUUUACGUGUGAGCGCCUUUAUCACUACUAAAGCAACUAACACGAGAAAAUUUUUCUUUGAUCUGUAUAAAGUGGCUUCUAUCUUUUCCUUUAGAGAAAAUAAGCCUUUUAUAUCUCCCUUUAGUGAAAACCUUAGGCUCCAAAUAAUCAAAAAACAAAACUCACGUUACUUGCUUUUUCUAUAGGGGACCCACCUUGUAAAAUAACAUAAGGCCCCUUACAUACAAGCUAAUUAAAUGGAGCCUAAUUAUUUAAUUAGGCCUGUAAUUAAACUAGCCUAAUUAUUUAAUUCCAAAUCUACUCCACUAAAAGAUUGGAAUUGACCUUCAUAAUUGUAUGCUCGAAUAAUAAUUCAUCCCAAGCCAGAUUGAUUUCUUUACUGCACAAUCAUUUGUACCACAUCAUUAAUUAAAUCGAUAUCUCAAUUGUCCAAUCAAUUUAAUUACAUCUUGUUCCUUGAUACUUACUGAUUUUCUCUAAUGAUCAUUUUCAACAUACUAAAUAUGUUGACACACUCUGGGCAGAGAAUUCUAUGAUCAAGUGCCGAAAACCCAUCAAGAGAUGUGUUGUACAAAUUUUAUAUUGUUAAUCCAUAACUCCAAUACUCAUAAUUGCUCCCACCAAGAUACCGGGUACUCUUGACCACAAGUAUGUGUCGUGCCCAUUGGUAACUCAUAUGGAAUAACAAUUACAAUCAUGAAAUCAUAAUUACUCAAGAUUAAGAUUACAGUAAAAUCAAUGCCUAUGAGAUUUAAUAAGUCUGACAGUUAUUACAAAGUUAAUUAAAUCUCAUAUGUGAUCCUGUUCAAUGUAGUCGUACUACAUCAAUAAAUUCAUACAUGAUUAAGACAAAUCAUUCAAUGAAUUUAUUACAGUCUAUACCUAAAUAAAGUGUCCAACUUUAUUUAUCAACUGCGAACUAAAUUUAUUUAAUCAUAAGAUAACUUAAAAUCAUGUCUUCUGUGAAUCCACAUGGUGAUUAAAUAAAGUGCACGUUAAGAAAGGCAGUCUUGACAUCCAUUUGCCAAAUUUCAUAAUCUAGCACUGCAGCAAUGGAGAGCAAAAUCCUGAUGGAUUUAAGCAUAGCAACCGGAGAAAAGGUUUCCUCAUAAUCGAUUCCCUCUUUCUGAGUAAACCCUUUGGCUACUAAUCUUACUUUAAAUGUUUCCACGCUUCCGUCUACUCCUCUUUUUCUCUUGUAGAUCCACUUGCACCCUAUAGGUUUUACCCCAUUUGGUGCCUCUACAAGUUCCGAGACUUUAUUGGAAUACAUAGAUUUCAUUUCUUGAUUCAUGGCCAUUUUCCAAAAUUCAACAUCUCUAUCUAUUAGAGCUUCGUUGUGACUAGUGGGAUCUUGUACAUGUUCAUCUGAGAUAGCCGUAUAGGUUUCUCCCAAAAGCAUGUAUCUCGCAGGUAACCUAGUUACCCUCCCACUACGACGAGGUUCUAAAAGUGAUGGUUGUUCAGAGAUAAUCCUGUGUUGAUCAUAUGGUUGUUGUUGUUCUUUCUGUUCUGUAAUAGGCGUUGAAAGCUGAGCAUCAACCUGAUCACCUGACAGUUCUUUAAGUAUUACCUUACUCUUAGGUUUGAAGUUAUUCAUAUAGUCUUCCUCGAGGGAAGUGAAAUGUGUGCUCACGAUCACUUUCCUAUCUUGAGGACUAUAAAAUAAACUUCCCCUUGUUCCUUUGGGAUACCCCACAAACAUACAAACCUCAGAACGUGAAUCCAUUUUGUCUGCCUUUGGUUUCAGUACAUGUGCUGGUGAUCCCCAAAUACAGACAUGUCGUAAACUUGGUUUGCGACCUGACCAUAAUUCUAUUGGGGUUUUAGGCACUAACUUAGAUAGAACUAAGUUCAGGAGGUAAACUGCAGUUUCUAGUGCUAGUCCCCAAAAAGAGAUUGGUAAUGACGAAUAACUAAGCAUAGAUCUCAUUAUAUCCAAAAAAGUUCUAUUUCUUUUUUCAGCUACCCUAUUUUGUUGUGGUGUUCCCGAGGCAGUCAACUGAGUAUAAUCCCAUUUUCAACCAGAUACUCUUUGAAAUCUCCUGAGAAAAAUUCACCAUCUCGAUCAGAUCGAAGUUUCUUUAUGUUCUUAUCUAAUUGCUUUUUUGUCUCAGCCCUAUACUCUUUGAAUUUCUCAAGAACUUCAGACUUGUGAUGCAUCAGAUAAACAUAACCGUAUCUUGAGUAAUUAUCAGUGAAAGUGAUGAAAUACUCAUAAUCUCCUCGAGCUUGUACAUUGAUUGGUCCACAUACAUCUGUAUGUACCAAUUCAAGUGGUACUGUUGCACGUACUCCUUUGGUCGAGAAUGGCCUUUUGGUCAUUUUCCCUUCUAAACAGGAUUCCUAGAAUGGCAAUGAUUAAUUUUCUAAUAGACCCAAGAGCCCAUCUUUGAUCAUUCUUUGUAUCCUAUUUUGGUUUAUAUGACCCAAGCGUAAAUGCCAGAGGUAACAUUGGUUGGAAGAAAUAUUUCUUUUCUUAGAUAAAUGUGUAUGCUCAUCAUUAUUGAUCACUGUGUCAUGCAUAGAAUAUAUCAUUGGACUUAAAUGAUAUAAAUUAUCUUCUAAUGUACCAGAACAAAUAAGUCUCUUAUUAUGAAAAAUAGAUACAGAGGAUCCAAAAUUGACAGUGUACCCUUGCUUUGACAAACAAGCUACUGAAAUUAAAUUCCUCUUAAUGUCUGGAACAUAAAGACAAUUAUUCAAAAUUAAAGUCUCAUUAUUAAAAGAUAAUAAAAUAGAUCUAGUCUUCACUGCUGACACGAACUGUCCUGUCCCUAACUGCAGCUUGAUACUUCCUUCACUUAUUUUCCUGGUUUCCUGAAACAAAUAAAGUGAAUUACAAAUAUGAUUAAUUGCUCCUGAAUCCAACACCCAAGUGUCAAUAGGAUUCUGAACUAAACAAGCCUCAAUUACAAAAAGAUUUCCCAUACUUGAUUUCACAAUCUUAGGGCAAUCCUUUUUCCAGUGACCUUUCUGUCCACACUUGAAGCAUUUGCCUUUCGACUUGCCAUCUUGCUUGGUAGACGGUCUCUUUUUCCCAGCUGUCUUCUUACCUUUGCCUUUCGGCUUAGGCCCAGAAGAUGAAUUUUUUUCAGUAAUAUUUAUGCUUCCUAGAGAUUUCUCAGCACGAUAGAUCUCUUCAGCAGAAUGGAGUUCGUUCAUCAAUUCAGUUAAGGUCAUGUUUCUUUUGUUCAUGUUAUAAUUGACCUUAAACUUUUUAAAUGUUUUUGGCAGAGAUUCUAGCACCAUGUCAAUCUUUGAAUUAUCAUCGAUUUGUGCUCCCUGAAUCUCAGCCUCAUUCAAAUAGUCCAUCAUUUUAAGGAGAUGAUCACGAACUCUUGUGCCCUUCCCCAUUUUACUGUUCAUAAUUCCUUUCAGCGCUGCUUGUCUCGCGGAGCAAGUACUCUGCCCAAACAUCUGUUGGAGACUAUCCAUUAUUUCAGUGGCAGUCUCCAAGUUCUGAUGUUUGGUUUGCAGAAUAUUAGAAAUCGAGGCUAAAAUGUAGCACUUUGCCAUUUCAUUGGCCUUUUGCCAUUUCUCAUAAAGCCUCCUCUGAUUUCUAUGAGCAUCAUCCGCUGGAACUGGAUGAUAUGGCUGGGUUAAGACAUAUUUAUAAUUUUCAGCAGUCAGGACAAUGAAUAGAUUUAUUUUCCAAUCUAUAUAGUUCUCUCCAAUGAGUUUGUUUUGACUCAGAAUAAUAGUAAGUGGGCUCAUGGAAGACAUUUUCUGAAAAAUAAAACAUCCAUGCAUAAAUAAUUUGAAAUAAUAUUCACAAUAAAUGAAAAAAAUGCAAAAAACCAUAAAUGCAUUUUAAUUUAUUUGUAACAAUAAUCUAGUACCGCUUUGACAAGCUAUUCGUUGGGGAAGUCAUGUCUACACUUACUAGACCCAAUUAUCCAUUGGAUUAUUUACUUUCAUGUAGAGACAUGAUAAAUAAUUCUCGUUAUCCUUUUAGGACUAAAUUUGUUAACAGAGCUUCGUUGGGAAGGUUAAUAACAAAUUUUAGUUGAGUGUAUAACUAUUGUUUCAAUUUAGGUAUUUUUCAUAUCAAUAGUCACCGUUGGGGUGAACAUCGAUUAAAAAAAUAUUUCAAUUUUAUCUUUGAAGAAGUUCAUCAAAUAAAAUAUCUAAUAUAUAUACCAUCUGAAGAGAGCAUCACCGUAUCAUUAAGUCGAGGUAUAUAUAUAAUUUUAUUACUGAACUAACCAUGGAGCCCGUGGGAAAAUCAUCUUGAAUUUUCCCUCUCCCAUUCAAUAUUUUAAAAUUGGUUUUUCCUUUUUUAAAACAUACGUAUUGUUAAUUGCAUACUUUCUAUAAUAUUAUCUAGAUGAUAUCAAAUAUUAUUAAGCAUGUGCAAAUUUCAAACAAUAUAAUGAGAUUCAUUAUUAAUGAAUGACAUGUAUCAUUAUGUAUAGAGUGGCACUACCUAUUCUAUAUGACAUGUUAUCAUGGCAUGUUAUCAUCCAAAACAUAACAUAUAGAAAAACAAUUAAAUAAUCUUAAUUCAUAGCUUUCCUAAUAAUGAAAAAUACAUUAACCCUAAGCCUAAACUUCAUUGGGCUUCUUGUCAAUGUCCAUCUUCCAUAAGCUUGUCUUUGUUAAUGGACUAGGGAAAAUUGGGCUUUUAAAUUUAUAGUUGGUCCAAUUUUAAUUUUUAAAGGAAAUAAAUAAAUAAUUAAAAAAAUUAUUAAAAUAAAACUUUUGGACCAAAAAUAAAUUUAAUAUAUUCAAUUUUAUCUAUGCAUUUUAAUCCAUUAAGCCCAAUUGAAAUUGGGCCUAAAACUAGGAUUCAUUAAGCCCAAAACUAUGUUUGAACUUAAAUGCAAAAAAUUAAAAUUUUCUGCCCACAAGAAAGAAUAUGAAACUAUAAGGACCUCCAUGAUAAAAACCAUUGACCCUAAAAUCACAUUUUUCUUCUCCUCUUUUUCCUCAGCUGCCAUCUCCACAAAGCAUUCACUAUUCAUCCAAGUCCGAUGCCGAUUUAACCAUUACCGCCACGCCGGAAAGCCACCAAAUGACGGAACCCGCGAGCUGCACGCCAUUAUCCCUCACACUGCACUAGGUGGCGCUGGCUCCCGCUGUAGCUUCUGGUCGCGCGCACUGCAGUUGCUGGUCGCAUGCUGCAGCUGCUAGCCACAGCGCGCUCUGCACGCUUACAGCGCGCACGCGGCAACUGCUGGGUGUGCAGCGCGCGCUGCUGCCCACGUGGGGCACGUGCUGCUCGCGCAGCAGUGUGUGCUGUUGGCCGCUCGUUGCUGAAAUUUCCGACAUCGAUUGUUUGAGCUCGUUUUCCAGUGAUGAUUCUUCAGUGAUUUACAAAUUUUCUAUGCAAAUUUUGGCUUACAAAAUUUCAAUUACAGUAAAAUAAAUCAAGAGAGAAAUAUGGUGAUAAAAAGCCACCCCUCUUGUUACAGAUCCAAACGAAAAAUACAACAGAAAUUCUAACCAUGAAUUAAGACAAACCAUAAACAUGCUUUAUUCAUAUAUUAAACAAAUAAUAUAUAUCUGAAUAAAUUGUGCCACUCUAAUACAUAAAUAUCAAGAUUAAUUUCAUACGAAAUUCUUAUAUAUUAAUAUGAGAUGACUCUGAUACCAAUUGUUGGGAAAAAAUCAGGUUUUUUAAAUUUUUAUAAAACAUUUUCUUAAGAUCGCUCUCAUAUAAUAUAUAAGAAUUUGUAAUCUAGAAAUCGUACCUUGAAAAUCCGAUUUAGAUUUUUCCUCUAAAGUGAUUUAGGCUCCCAGAUCACGAUCCGUCACCACCACACCUGUUAGAUCACGAUCUGUCACCACCACGUUUGUUAGAUCACGAUCCGUCACCACCAUGUCUGUUAGAUCACGAUCCGUCACCACCACGCUUGUUAGAACACGAACUGACACAAAUGAUCUUCCAUGUUAUGACUCAGGUUUGAUCUGCACUUGACAUGUGGGCGCCUUUAUCACUACUAAAGCAAUUAACAUGAGAAAAUUUUUCUCUGAUUUGUAUAAAGUGACUUCUAUCUUUUCCUUUAGAGAAAAUAAGCUUUUUAUAUCUUCCUUUAGUGAAAACUCUAGGCUCCAAAUAAUCAAAAAACAAAACUCACGUUACUUGCUUUUUCUAUAGGGGACCCACCUUGUAAAAUAACAUAAGGCCCCUUACAUACAAGCUAAUUAAAUGGAGCCUCCCACUAAAAAAUAUAUUUAGGCUUUUGACCCAAAUAUCUAGUUAUCUUACUUUUUAGUCCAGUAGUGGUGCAAUCAAUUAAAUGAGCUAACCCGGGAAUCAUUUGGGAAAAUACAAUAGUGGCUAUAACAAUUAAGCCUAUAAUUAAACUAGCCUAAUUAUUUAAUUCCAAAUCUACUCCACUAAAAGAUUGGAAUUGACCUUCAUAAUUGUAUGCUCGAAUAAUAAUUCGUCCCAAGCCACAUUGAUUUCUUUACUGCACAAUCAUUUGUACCAUAUCAUUAAUUAAAUCGAUAUCUCAACUGUCCAAUCAAUUUAAUUACAUCUUGUUCCUUGAUACUUACUGGUUUUCUCUAAUGAUCAUUUUCAAUAGACUAAAUAUGUUGACACACUCUGGACAGAGAAUUCUAUGAUCAAGUGCCGAAAACCCAUCAAGAGAUGUGUUGUACAAAUUCUAUAUUGUUAAUCCAUAACUCCAAUACUCAUAAUUACUCCCACCAAGAUACCGGGUAAUCUUAACCACAAGUAUGUGUCGUGCCCAUUGGUAACUCAUAUGGAAUAACAAUUACAAUCAUGAAAUCAUAAUUAACUCAAGAUUAAGAUUACAGUAAAAUCAAUGCCUAUGAGAUUUAAUAAGUCUGACAGUUAUUACAAAGUUAAUUAAAUCUCAUGUGAUCCUGUUCAAUGUAGUCGUACUACAUCAAUAAAUUCAUACAUGAUUAAGACAAAUCAUUCAAUUAAUUUAUUACAGUCUAUACCUAAAUAAAGUGCCCAACUUUAUUUAUCAACUGCGAACUAAAUUUAUUUAAUCAUAAGAUAACUUGUAUUUAUGUCUUCUGUGAAUCCACAUGAUAAUCACAUAAAUACAUAUAAUAUGAUUAAAUGGACUUUAAUAAAAAUAUUAAUGCAAUUAAGAUAUUUGAAUAAAAUACCUCAUUAAUUUUAUUAAUCAGAAAAAAUAUUUAUUACAAUUAAAUAAACACAUAUGCUUUUAAAAAGCAUAUUUUCCCAACACAAACCGAGGUCGAGAAGCGCCUAAAAUACGACAACGAAGAGUCCCACACUCUACAGAUUCAAAAACUAGAAUGGGAAUUGGAGUCUCUAAGCAGCAUCCAAUUAGCUUUAAAAUAUGCUUGUGAUCCAUUUGUGCUGCAUAUACUAUGUUAUUAAAUACUACACUCGUAAGCGGUAUCAGGAUAGGAUUCGUUAAACUUCAAAACAGAAAUUAGGCGCUCCUGCCAAAAGCCCUUGCACAAUUUAUAUAUGUAACUGUCGUCAUGUUUUAUAACUUCCCUCUCGUCAUAGUUGAUUAAUUUGAGUCAUUCGAAUAAGUAUGAAGUGUUUUUUUUCUAAUGCUCAAUUUAAUUUGGAAUAUGUGAAAUUGCAACAAGUCUUCCUCUAGUCAACCAAGGAUAUACAACGCAUGAGGGUAAGAAUAGUCCACGCGGCUAAGCGUGGAAUAAUUCUUGUAUAAUGAUUUCUAUUUUUUAAGAAAUUUUAUGAAAGGUGAAACCGUCAAUUAAUGACAUUGACGUAUCUUAAAUUUUGUCUUGAAAUUUAUCAAAAAUGUCAUGUCACUAGCCUAACUCUUCAACUCUUUUUGUAUAUUUUAUCAAGUUAGUUAGUUUGGGAAACUGUUCCAGCAGUAGAACAUAAAUUACAUGUACAAUGGAACACGUUAUUGUGCAGGAAUUGUCCAAUAAAAAAUUUUGCUGUAGUUUUUUUCAAUUUUUUUCAAAUCGAUGCCCUUUGUUAUGCUCUUUUCUUCUCUUUAAGCAUUCUAAUUUUGCUAAAAGAGCUCAUUUUCUAAUUUUUAAACUUCUUUUUCUGUGUCGUGGUUAUCCCAAAAUGUUAGAUGAUAUCAUGAUAAAAAAAAAUGCAUUUUACCAUAACGUGCAGUGACAAAUUACUGUCAUACAAUUUUCCUCUCCCCUGUCAUGGAACUAGCCACAAAUUAUUAAAUAAAGCAUUAAACUAGUAACAUUUUGUUUAUUCAAAUAACCGGGUUGCAGUACUAAUACUGGCAGGGGAAAAUGAAAACAUAAAAAACGACGAAUACAAAAGAUUAAUUACAUGAAAGAGAGCAAUAAAUUUGUCUGAGUCUUUUGCAACAUCAACAAUUGUUGGCCUAUAUACCGGUGAUUCGUUGAGACAUUCAAGAGUGAGUCGUGCACAAGCUUGC